rnacentral:rRNA from 1 species
GCUUAACACAUGCAAGUCGAGGGGCAGCAUGGUCUUAGCUUGCUAAGGCCGAUGGCGACCGGCGCACGGGUGAGUAACACGUAUCCAACCUGCCGUCUACUCUUGGACAGCCUUCUGAAAGGAAGAUUAAUACAAGAUGGCAUCAUGAGUCCGCAUGUUCACAUGAUUAAAGGUAUUCCGGUAGACGAUGGGGAUGCGUUCCAUUAGAUAGUAGGCGGGGUAACGGCCCACCUAGUCUUCGAUGGAUAGGGGUUCUGAGAGGAAGGUCCCCCACAUUGGAACUGAGACACGGUCCAAACUCCUACGGGAGGCAGCAGUGAGGAAUAUUGGUCAAUGGGCGAGAGCCUGAACCAGCCAAGUAGCGUGAAGGAUGACUGCCCUAUGGGUUGUAAACUUCUUUUAUAAAGGAAUAAAGUCGGGUAUGGAUACCCGUUUGCAUGUACUUUAUGAAUAAGGAUCGGCUAACUCCGUGCCAGCAGCCGCGGUAAUACGGAGGAUCCGAGCGUUAUCCGGAUUUAUUGGGUUUAAAGGGAGCGUAGAUGGAUGUUUAAGUCAGUUGUGAAAGUUUGCGGCUCAACCGUAAAAUUGCAGUUGAUACUGGAUAUCUUGAGUGCAGUUGAGGCAGGCGGAAUUCGUGGUGUAGCGGUGAAAUGCUUAGAUAUCACGAAGAACUCCGAUUGCGAAGGCAGCCUGCUAAGCUGCAACUGACAUUGAGGCUCGAAAGUGUGGGUAUCAAACAGGAUUAGAUACCCUGGUAGUCCACACGGUAAACGAUGAAUACUCGCUGUUUGCGAUAUACUGCAAGCGGCCAAGCGAAAGCGUUAAGUAUUCCACCUGGGGAGUACGCCGGCAACGGUGAAACUCAAAGGAAUUGACGGGGGCCCGCACAAGCGGAGGAACAUGUGGUUUAAUUCGAUGAUACGCGAGGAACCUUACCCGGGCUUAAAUUGCAGAUGAAUUACGGUGAAAGCCGUAAGCCGCAAGGCAUCUGUGAAGGUGCUGCAUGGUUGUCGUCAGCUCGUGCCGUGAGGUGUCGGCUUAAGUGCCAUAACGAGCGCAACCCUUGUUGUCAGUUACUAACAGGUUCCGCUGAGGACUCUGACAAGACUGCCAUCGUAAGAUGUGAGGAAGGUGGGGAUGACGUCAAAUCAGCACGGCCCUUACGUCCGGGGCUACACACGUGUUACAAUGGGGGGUACAGAGGGCCGCUACCACGCGAGUGGAUGCCAAUCCCCAAAACCUCUCUCAGUUCGGACUGGAGUCUGCAACCCGACUCCACGAAGCUGGAUUCGCUAGUAAUCGCGCAUCAGCCACGGCGCGGUGAAUACGUUCCCGGGCCUUGUACACACCGCCCGUCAAGCCAUGGGAGCCGGGGGUACCUGAAGUGCGUAACCGCGAGGAGCGCCCUAGGGUAAAACUGGUGACUGGGGCUAAGUCAU